rnacentral:rRNA from 1 species
CCCUUAGACGUUCUGGGCCGCACGCGCGCUACACUGACGAAGGCAACGAGCUUUCCUUUACCGAAAGGUACGGGUAAUCUUUUGAAACUUCGUCGUGCUGGGGAUAGAUCCUUGCAAUUAUUGAUCUUAAACGAGGAAUUCCUAGUAAGCGCAAGUCAUCAACUUGCGUUGAUUACGUCCCUGCCCUUUGUACACACCGCCCGUCGCUACUACCGAUUGAGUGAUCCGGUGAAUGUUUUGGAUCGGCUUCAAGUUGGUUCGCGCCUCUUGCUUGCUGUGAAAUCAUGUAAACCUUAUUGCUUAGAGGAAGGAGAAGUCGUAACA